GGAGGUAAGGGGGACGGGAGCUGUCAUGGCCAGCUCAGGGACAGGCGCGCACCACUCCUCCCUGAUCCCCCAAGAGCCAGGAUGGAGGCCCUCCCCCUGCUCUGAAGCCCCGCCACACCCCUGCAACCCCUCCCAACUCCCCAGCUCCCCUCCCCGUCCCCAGGGUCUUUGCCGAGGCCGGCUGCUCAAUCUUCCUUCAGGGUCCAGCCCCAGAGACCCCCGUCUCAGACCCUCAGGCUGUUGAGGGGUGAGGGUGGAGUGACCAGGAGGCCUAAGAAGACACCCUUGUUUGCAGCCUCCCCAGGCGGAGCAGCUCAGCUCAGGUCAGAACCCCGGGGGGCUGCCAGGCCCUCUGGGCCCUGAGCUGCCCUGCCACUGUCACCAGGUGAGGGAUCAAAGGGACACAGAGAGCUGGCAGCGCAGGUUAGGGGCAUCGUGGCACACCAGGUAGAGUGGGAGGACCCCUGGUGGUCUGCAGUUCUUGGGGGCCCAAGCAGGUGUCUUCCAGGGGUCUUGCAUCUUUCCUGUCCCCAUGUCCCCCACUGAAGUGAGUUUUGGCUGCUCCAGGAGAAGCAGGAGCUGAGGGGCAGGGAGCUCCUUACCUGGCCCAGGCCGGCCCUUGUUCAAGGCUUCGAGGCCAGCAGGAGAGCAGAGGGGGGAUGGAGGGGGCUGGCUCCCCCACGGGCAGGGGCAGGAGGCUCUGACCAUACCCAGCUCCCCGUGCUGUGCCCGUAGGCCCUGCACAGAGGCCACUCAUUUGGAACACCAGGUCCAGGGAUGCUACAAAACUCUCCUCUCUCUCCUCAAGUCGGGAGGGGUGGGCACAUUCCUUGAGCCCCCACCAAGUGCCUCUCCUGUGUCCCCUAACCCUCAGACAAGCAGCAGGCAAGGAGCUAUGGGCACCCCAGGCUGAAGCUGCAGGCAGCAGGAAGAGUGUGAAGAUGUAACCAGACAGCAUGCCUGAGGCACGCGGAACAGGGCCUGCAGGAGCUGGGCGAGCCAUGUUUGACAGAGAAGUUAGGGAGGAGGGAGAUGAGCACAUGUAAGCACGUAAAUACGCACAUGCAUGCUGAUGUGUGUGUAAAUGAGCAUGUAUUUGCAUGCAGAGGCAUGUGUACGAAUAUGUGCAUGCAUGUGUGGAUGGGAUUGCAUGCAUGUAUGUACAAUGUGCAUGUAUGCAUACAUGUACA
rnacentral:lncRNA from 1 species